rnacentral:rRNA from 1 species
AGAUUGAACGCUGGCGGCAUGCCUUACACAUGCAAGUCGAACGGCAGCACGGGAGCAAUCCUGGUGGCGAGUGGCGAACGGGUGAGUAAUACAUCGGAACGUGCCCAAUCGUGGGGGAUAACGCAGCGAAAGCUGUGCUAAUACCGCAUAAGAUCUACGGAUGAAAGCAGGGGAUCGCAAGACCUUGCGCGAAUGGAGCGGCCGAUGGCAGAUUAGGUAGUUGGUGAGGUAAAGGCUCACCAAGCCUUCGAUCUGUAGCUGGUCUGAGAGGACGACCAGCCACACUGGGACUGAGACACGGCCCAGACUCCUACGGGAGGCAGCAGUGGGGAAUUUUGGACAAGUGGGCGAAAGCCUGAUCCAGCCAUGCCGCGUGCAGGAGUGAAGGCCGUUCGGUUGUAACGUGUCUUUGUACGGUAACGAAAGUUCUCUUUACUAAAUAAG